rnacentral:rRNA from 1 species
GCACAAGCGGUGGAGCAUGUGGUUUAAUUCGACGCAACGCGAAGAACCUUACCAGGUCUUGACAUCCGACGCAAGGCACUAGAGAUAGUGAGAUAGUUAUGGUCGAGACAGGUGGUGCAUGGUUGUCGUCAGCUCGUGUCGUGAGAUGUUUGGUUAAGUCCAGCAACGAGCGCAACCCCUGUCCUUAGUUACCAUCAUUUAGUUGGGGACUCUAAGGAGACUGCCGGUAAUAAACCGGAGGAAGGUGGGGAUGACGUCAAAUCAUCAUGCCCCUUAUGACCUGGGCUACACACGUGCUACAAUGGUUGGUACAACGAGUUGCGAGUCGGUGACGGCGAGCUAAUCUCUUAAAGCCAAUCUCAGUUCGGAUUGUAGGCUGCAACUCGCCUACAUGAAGUCGGAAUCGCUAGUAAUCGCGGAUCAGCACGCCGCGGUCGAAUACGUUCCCGGGCCUU